AUGGUCAGUGUCACCGAGCUCUGCCCGUUGUCCCUGGAGAUCCUGACCCGGCCCUUGACCGAUGGGCUCCGGGCGGCCGUGACCCUGCUGGAGUCCGGGGGGGACCUCCAGCCCCCCGGGGGGUCCCUGCGCCUCCUCUGCCGAGGCUCCGGGUUCCUGCAGCCUCCCCCCACUUCCUCCCCGGCAGCUGCAGGGCUUUCCAUCCCCUCAUCCCCAUCUCCCCUUUUCCCCGCAGGGCUCCGGGCGGCCGUGACCCUGCUGGAGUCCGGGGGGGACCUCCAGCCCCCCGGGGGGUCCCUGCGCCUCCUCUGCCGAGGGUCCGGGUUCGAUUUCGGCAGUUUUGGGAUGGCCUGGUAUCGCCAGAGACCUGGGCAGGGGCUGGAAUUUAUCGCAAGGAUCCACAGCAAUGGUGGUUUCAUCGAGUACGGGCCGUCAGUGCAGGGCCGGGUCAGGAUCUCCAGGGACAACGGGCAGAGCUCGGUGACGCUGACCAUGAACAACCUCAAGGACGAGGAUUCCGGAUCCUAUUUCUGCGCCAAAUCUGCUGGGGCUUACACUGCUGAUCCUGGUCGUAGUGAACAUGGCGGUGCUGGCUCCAUCCCCAUCUCCGAGGCCCCCCAGUCCCCAGAGCCCAGACCCUUCCCCAGACCCCAGCCCCAGACCCAGCUCUUGA